rnacentral:rRNA from 1 species
AUUGAACGCUGGCGGCGUGCUUAACACAUGCAAGUCGAUCGGUAACGCGGGGGCAACCCUGGCGACGAGAGGCGGACGGGUGAGGAACGCUUGGGAAUCUGCCUAUCAGCGGGGGACAACCCGGGGAAACUCGGGCUAAUACCGCAUACGCUCUACGGAGGAAAGCCGGGGACCGCAAGGCCUGGCACUGAUAGAUGAGCCCAAGUCGGAUUAGCUAGUUGGCGGGGUAACGGCCCACCAAGGCGACGAUCCGUAGCUGGCAUGAGAGGACGAUCAGCCACACUGGGACUGAGACAAGGCCCAGACUCCUACGGGAGGCAGCAGUAGGGAAUAUUGGACAAUGGGCGCAAGCUUGAUCCAGCCAUGCCGCGUGAGUGAAGAAGGCCUUCGGGUUGUAAAGCUCUUUUGUCCGGAAAGAAAAGCAUCCAGUUAAUACCUGGGUGUCCUGACGGUACCGGAAGAAUAAGCACCGGCUAACUUCGUGCCAGCAGCCGCAGUAAGAC